GGGUUGUGAGGUUAAGCGACUAAGCGUACACGGUGGAUGCCCUGGCAGUCAGAGGCGAUGAAGGACGUGCUAAUCUGCGAAAAGCGUCGGUAAGGUGAUAUGAACCGUUAUAACCGGCGAUGUCCGAAUGGGGAAACCCAGUGCAAUUCGUUGCACUAUCGUUAACUGAAUACAUAGGUUAACGAGGCGAACCGGGGGAACUGAAACAUCUAAGUACCCCGAGGAAAAGAAAUCAACCGAGAUUCCCCCAGUAGCGGCGAGCGAACGGGGAGCAGCCCAGAGUCUGAAUCAGCUUGUGUGUUAGUGGAACGGUCUGGAAAGUCCGACGGUACAGGGUGAUAGUCCCGUACACCAAAAUGCACAGGCUGUGAACUCGAAGAGUAGGGCGGGACACGUGGUAUCCUGUCUGAAUAUGGGGGGACCAUCCUCCAAGGCUAAAUACUCCUGACUGACCGAUAGUGAACCAGUACCGUGAGGGAAAGGCGAAAAGAACCCCGGCGAGGGGAGUGAAAAAGAACCUGAAACCGUGUACGUACAAGCAGUGGGAGCACCUUCGGGUGUGACUGCGUACCUUUUGUAUAAUGGGUCAGCGACUUAUAUUCUGUAGCAAGGUUAACCGUAUAGGGGAGCCGCAGGGAAACCGAGUCUUAACUGGGCGUUAAGUUGCAGGGUAUAGACCCGAAACCCGGUGAUCUAGCCAUGGGCAGGUUGAAGGUUGGGUAACACUAACUGGAGGACCGAACCGACUAAUGUUGAAAAAUUAGCGGAUGACUUGUGGCUGGGGGUGAAAGGCCAAUCAAACCGGGAGAUAGCUGGUUCUCCCGAAAGCUAUUUAGGUAGCGCCUCGUGAAUUCAUCUUCGGGGGUAGAGCACUGUUUCGGCUAGGGGGUCAUCCCGACUUACCAACCCGAUGCAAACUACGAAUACCGAAGAAUGUUAUCACGGGAGACACACGGCGGGUGCUAACGUCCGUCGUGAAGAGGGAAACAACCCAGACCGCCAGCUAAGGUCCCAAAGUCAUGGUUAAGUGGGAAACGAUGUGGGAAGGCACAGACAGCCAGGAUGUUGGCUUAGAAGCAGCCAUCAUUUAAAGAAAGCGUAAUAGCUCACUGGUCGAGUCGGCCUGCGCGGAAGAUGUAACGGGCUAAACCAUGCACCGAAGCUGCGGCAGCGACACUAUGUGUUGUUGGGUAGGGAGCGUUCUGUAAGCCUGCGAAGGUGUGCUGUGAGGCAUGCUGGAGGUAUCAGAAGUGCGAAUGCUGACAUAAGUAACGAUAAAGCGGGUGAAAAGCCCGCUCGCCGGAAGACCAAGGGUUCCUGUCCAACGUUAAUCGGGGCAGGGUGAGUCGACCCCUAAGGCGAGGCCGAAAGGCGUAGUCGAUGGGAAACAGGUUAAUAUUCCUGUACUUGGUGUUACUGCGAAGGGGGGACGGAGAAGGCUAUGUUAGCCGGGCGACGGUUGUCCCGGUUUAAGCAUGUAGGCUGGUUGUCCAGGCAAAUCCGGAUAAUCAAGGCUGAGGUGUGAUGACGAGGCACUACGGUGCUGAAGUAACAAAUGCCCUGCUUCCAGGAAAAGCCUCUAAGCAUCAGGUAACAUCAAAUCGUACCCCAAACCGACACAGGUGGUCAGGUAGAGAAUACCAAGGCGCUUGAGAGAACUCGGGUGAAGGAACUAGGCAAAAUGGUGCCGUAACUUCGGGAGAAGGCACGCUGGUGUGUAGGUGAAGUCCCUGCGGAUGGAGCUGAGACCAGUCGAAGAUACCAGCUGGCUGCAACUGUUUAUUAAAACACAGCACUGUGCAAACACGAAAGUGGACGUAUACGGUGUGACGCCUGCCCGGUGCCGGAAGGUUAAUUGAUGGGGUUAUCCGUAAGGAGAAGCUCUUGAUCGAAGCCCCGGUAAACGGCGGCCGUAACUAUAACGGUCCUAAGGUAGCGAAAUUCCUUGUCGGGUAAGUUCCGACCUGCACGAAUGGCGUAAUGAUGGCCAGGCUGUCUCCACCCGAGACUCAGUGAAAUUGAACUCGCUGUGAAGAUGCAGUGUACCCGCGGCAAGACGGAAAGACCCCGUGAACCUUUACUAUAGCUUGACACUGAACAUUGAGCCUUGAUGUGUAGGAUAGGUGGGAGGCUUUGAAGCGUGGACGCCAGUCUGCGUGGAGCCAACCUUGAAAUACCACCCUUUAAUGUUUGAUGUUCUAACGUUGGCCCCUUACCGGGGUUGCGGACAGUGUCUGGUGGGUAGUUUGACUGGGGCGGUCUCCUCCCAAAGCGUAACGGAGGAGCACGAAGGUUAGCUAAUCCUGGUCGGACAUCAGGAGGUUAGUGCAAUGGCAUAAGCUAGCUUGACUGCGAGCGUGACGGCGCGAGCAGGUGCGAAAGCAGGUCAUAGUGAUCCGGUGGUUCUGAAUGGAAGGGCCAUCGCUCAACGGAUAAAAGGUACUCCGGGGAUAACAGGCUGAUACCGCCCAAGAGUUCAUAUCGACGGCGGUGUUUGGCACCUCGAUGUCGGCUCAUCACAUCCUGGGGCUGAAGUAGGUCCCAAGGGUAUGGCUGUUCGCCAUUUAAAGUGGUACGCGAGCUGGGUUUAGAACGUCGUGAGACAGUUCGGUCCCUAUCUGCCGUGGGCGCUGGAGAAUUGAGGGGGGCUGCUCCUAGUACGAGAGGACCGGAGUGGACGCAUCACUGGUGUUCGGGUUGUCAUGCCAAUGGCACUGCCCGGUAGCUAAAUGCGGAAGAGAUAAGUGCUGAAAGCAUCUAAGCACGAAACUUGCCCCGAGAUGAGUUCUCCCUGAGACUUUAAGUCUCCUGAAGGAACGUUAAAGACGAUGACGUUGAUAGGCCGGGUGUGUAAGCGCAGCGAUGCGUUGAGCUAACCGGUACUAAUGAACCGUGAGGCUUAACCUUACAACGCCGAAG
rnacentral:rRNA from 1 species